GGAGGUGUGGCUCAAGUGGUAGAGCACCUGUCUAGCAAGCAUGAAGCUCUGAGUUCAAUCCCCAGUACUACAA
rnacentral:tRNA from 1 species